UAGAGUUUGAUCAUGGCUCAGGAUGAACGCUGGCGGCGUGCCUAACACAUGCAAGUCGAGCGAGAAACCUGCAAUUGAAACUUCGGUAGAUUUUGCGGGCGGAAAGCGGCGGACGGGUGAGUAACGCGUAGGCAACCUGCCCUUUGCAGAGGGAUAGCAACGGGAAACUGUUAUUAAAACCUCAUAAUACCGACAUGUCAAAUGACAAGACGGUCAAAGAUUUAUCGGCAAAGGAUGGGCCUGCGUCUGAUUAGUUAGUUGGUAGGGUAACGGCCUACCAAGGCAGCGAUCAGUAGCCGACCUGAGAGGGUGAUCGGCCACAUUGGAACUGAGACACGGUCCAAACUCCUACGGGAGGCAGCAGUGGGGAAUAUUGCACAAUGGGCGAAAGCCUGAUGCAGCAACGCCGCGUGAAGGAUGAAGGCCUUUGGGUCGUAAACUUCUGUCCUUGGGGAAGAAAAAAAUGACGGUACCCCUGGAGGAAGUCCCGGCUAACUACGUGCCAGCAGCCGCGGUAAUACGUAGGGGGCGAGCGUUAUCCGGAAUUAUUGGGCGUAAAGAGUACGUAGGUGGUUUUUUAAGCGCAGGGUUUAAGGCGAUGGCUCAACUGUCGUUCGCCCUGUGAACUGGAAGACUUGAGUACAGGAGAGGAAAGCGGAAUUCCUAGUGUAGCGGUGAAAUGCAUAGAUAUUAGGAGGAACACCAGUGGCGAAGGCGGCUUUCUGGACUGUAACUGACACUGAGGUACGAAAGCGUGGGGAGCAAACAGGAUUAGAUACCCUGGUAGUCCACGCUGUAAACGAUGAGCACUAGGUGUCGGGGUCGCAAGAUCUCGGUGCCGCAGUUAACGCAUUAAGUGCUCCGCCUGGGGAGUACGCACGCAAGUGUGAAACUCAAAGGAAUUGACGGGGACCCGCACAAGCAGCGGAACAUGUGGUUUAAUUCGAAGCAACGCGAAGAACCUUACCAGAACUUGACAUCCUCCUGACAGGCCUUUAAUCGGGCCCUUCUUCGGACAGGAGAGACAGGUGGUGCAUGGUUGUCGUCAGCUCGUGUCGUGAGAUGUUGGGUUAAGUCCCGCAACGAGCGCAACCCUUGUCAUUAGUUGCUAACAUUAAGUUGAGGACUCUAAUGAGACUGCCGGGGACAACUCGGAGGAAGGUGGGGAUGACGUCAAAUCAUCAUGCCCCUUAUGUUCUGGGCUACACACGUGCUACAAUGGCCGGUACAACGAGAAGCGAAGUCGCAAGGCGGAGCAAACCUCAAAAACCGGUCCCAGUUCGGAUUGCAGGCUGAAACCCGCCUGCAUGAAGCCGGAGUUGCUAGUAAUCGCGAAUCAGAAUGUCGCGGUGAAUGCGUUCCCGGGUCUUGUACACACCGCCCGUCACACCAUGGAAGUUGGGGGCGCCCGAAGUUGGUCAGAUAAUAGAUUACCUAAGGCGAAAUCAAUGACUGGGGUGAAGUCGUAACAAGGUAACCA
rnacentral:rRNA from 1 species